AGGUGCGAUCAUCCAAGCAAUAAUGCAUUGGAUCCCAUCAGAACUCUAAAUUAAAACCUUCUUGAGCAAGAGUAAUACUUGGAUGGUUGACCUCCUAGGAAUCCCUAGUGUUGCACCCC
rnacentral:rRNA from 1 species